GCAACAUUAUUGGAUGAGUUGUGAUUAGGGGUGAAAGGCCAAUCAAACUUGGAAAUAGCUGGUUCUCCGCGAAAUCUAUUUAGGUAGAGCGUUGUAUGUAUGUUGUUGGGGGUAGAGCACUGGAUAGACUAGGGGGAUUCACCGUCUUACCAAAUCUAACUAAACUCCGAAUACCAACAAUUAAUUAUACAGCAGGCACACUACGGGUGCUAAGUCCGUGGUGAAGAGGGAAACAACCCAGAUCACUAUCUAAGGUCCCAAAAUUACAGCUAAGUGGGGAAGGAAGUAGAAAAA
rnacentral:rRNA from 1 species